rnacentral:rRNA from 1 species
UACGUAGGGGGCAAGCGUUGUCCGGAAUCAUUGGGCGUAAAGAGCGUGUAGGCGGCCCGAUAAGUCCGCCGUGAAAGUCCAGGGCUCAACCCUGGAAUGCCGGUGGAAACUGUCGGGCUGGAGUCCGGAAGAGGCGAGUGGAAUUCCUGGUGUAGCGGUGAAAUGCGCAGAUAUCAGGAGGAACACCGGUGGUGUAGACGGCUCACUGGACCGUAACUGACGCUGAGACACGAAAGCGUGGGUAGCAAACAGG